rnacentral:ncRNA from 16 species
CCGCAUGUCCGCCCUGUUGGUGUCCGGGCAACCGGAUGAAAAGGGAAUGCGCCAGCGGUUCCGGGACAUGAUCCCGGGCAGCCGUCAAGCGCAGCCGCCCCCGCGACCGUGACCGGAGAGGGUGCCCAAGCCACUGGCCAAAUGGCCGGGAAGGCGGGACAUCCGCCAGAGCAGCGCUCUGACAUCCGCAAGCCGGGAGACCUGCCAGCACCCGAACUGCAACC